UGGGGAAUUUUGGACAAUGGGGGAAACCCUGAUCCAGCAAUCCCGCGUGUGCGAUGAAGGCCUUCGGGUUGUAAAGCACUUUUGGCAGGAAAGAAACGUCAUGGGUUAAUACCCCGUGAAACUGACGGUACCUGCAGAAUAAGCACCGGCUAACUACGUGCCAGCAGCCGCGGUAAUACGUAGGGUGCAAGCGUUAAUCGGAAUUACUGGGCGUAAAGCGUGCGCAGGCGGUUCGGAAAGAAAGAUGUGAAAUCCCAGAGCUCAACUUUGGAACUGCAUUUUUAACUACCGGGCUAGAGUGUGUCAGAGGGAGGUGGAAUUCCGCGUGUAGCAGUGAAAUGCGUAGAUAUGCGGAGGAACACCGAUGGCGAAGGCAGCCUCCUGGGAUAACACUGACGCUAAUGCACGAAAGCGUGGGGAGCAAACAGG
rnacentral:rRNA from 1 species